GUCCUUUAGAUAAUAAUUUAAGGUCUAGCCUGCCCACUGAAUUUUGAAGGGCCGCAGUAUUUUGACUGUGCUAAGGUAGCAUAAUCAUUAGUUUUUUAAUUGAAAGCUAGAAUGAAGGGUUGAAUGAGAAAAUAGCUGUCUCUGUUAAAUUUUUUAGAAUUUUAUUUUUAAGUUAAAAAGCUUAAAUUACAUUUAAAGACGAGAAGACCCUAUAGAGUUUUAUAAAUUUAAAAUUUUUUAAAUAAUAAGAAUUAUUUUUUUUUAAAAUUUAAUAUUUAUUUUGUUGGGGUGAUUAAAAAAUUUAUUUAACUUUUUUUAAAUUUUUCAUUUAUUUAUGUGUGAUUGAUCCUUUUUUUAAGAUUAAAAGAUUAAAUUACCUUAGGGAUAACAGCGUAAUUUUUUUUGAGAGUUCUUAUCGAAAAAAAAGAUUGCGACCACGAUGUUGGAUUAAAAUUAAAUUUUGGUGUAGAAGCUAAAAAUUUUAGGUCUGUUCGACCUUUAAAAUUUUACA
rnacentral:rRNA from 1 species